CGCAUUAGCUAGUUGGUGAGGUAACGGCUCACCAAGGCGACGAUGCGUAGCCGACCUGAGAGGGUGAUCGGCCACACUGGGACUGAGACACGGCCCAGACUCCUACGGGAGGCAGCAGUAGGGAAUCUUCCGCAAUGGACGAAAGUCUGACGGAGCAACGCCGCGUGAGUGAUGAAGGUUUUCGGAUCGUAAAGCUCUGUUGUUAGGGAAGAACAAGUGCAAGAGUAACUGCUUGCACCAUGACGGUACCUAACCAGAAAGCCACGGCUAACUACGUGCCAGCAGCCGCGGUAAUACGUAGGUGGCAAGCGUUGUCCGGAAUUAUUGGGCGUAAAGGGCUCGCAGGCGGUUUCUUAAGUCUGAUGUGAAAGCCCCCGGCUCAACCGGGGAGGGUCAUUGGAAACUGGGAAACUUGAGUGCAGAAGAGGAGAGUGGAAUUCCACGUGUA
rnacentral:rRNA from 1 species